UACGAAGGGGGCUAGCGUUGCUCGGAAUCACUGGGCGUAAAGCGCACGUAGGCGGCUUUCUAAGUCAGGGGUGAAAUCCUGGAGCUCAACUCCAGAACUGCCUUUGAUACUGGAGAGCUUGAGUCCGGAAGAGGCGAGUGGAACUCCUGGUGUAGCGGUGGAAUGCGCAGAUAUCAGGAAGAACACCAACGGCGAAGGCAGCUCGCUGGGACGGUACUGACGCUGAGACGCGAAAGCGUGGGGAGCGAACAGG
rnacentral:rRNA from 1 species